GCAUAACGCGAAGAACCUUACCAAGGCUUGACAUACACGAGAACAUCCCAGAAAUGGGGGACUCUUUGGACACUCGUGAACAGGUGGUGCAUGGUUGUCGUCAGCUCGUGUCGUGAGAUGUUGGGUUAAGUCCCGCAACGAGCGCAACCCUCGUUCUAUGUUGCCAGCACGUAAUGGUGGGAACUCAUGGGAUACUGCCGGGGUCAACUCGGAGGAAGGUGGGGAUGACGUCAAAUCAUCAUGCCCCUUAUGUCUUGGGCUUCACGCAUGCUACAAUGGCCGGUACAAAGGGCUGCAAUACCGUGAGGUGGAGCGAAUCCCAAAAAGCCGGUCCCAGUUCGGAUUGAGGUCUGCAACUCGACCUCAUGAAGUCGGAGUCGCUAGUAAUCGCAGAUCAGCAACGCUGCGGUGAAUACGUUCCCGGGUCUUGUACACACCG
rnacentral:rRNA from 1 species